rnacentral:rRNA from 1 species
AUUGAACGCUGGCGGCAUGCCUUACACAUGCAAGUCGAACGGUAACAGGUCUUCGGAUGCUGACGAGUGGCGAACGGGUGAGUAAUACAUCGGAACGUGCCUAGUAGUGGGGAUAACUACUCGAAAGAGUGGCUAAUACCGCAUGAGAUCUACGGAUGAAAGCAGGGGAUCGCAAGACCUUGUGCUACUAGAGCGGCCGAUGGCAGAUUAGGUAGUUGGUGUGAUAAAAGCUUACCAAGCCGACGAUCUGUAGCCGGUCUGAGAGGACGAUCAGCCACACUGGGACUGAGACACGGCCCAGACUCCUACGGGAGGCAGCAGUGGGGAAUUUUGGACAAUGGGCGCAAGCCUGAUCCAGCAAUGCCGCGUGCAGGAUGAAGGCCUUCGGGUUGUAAACUGCUUUUGUACGGAACGAAAAGCCCUGGGUUAAUACCCUGGGGUCAUGACGGUACCGUAAGAAUAAGCACCGGCUAACUACGUGCCAGCCGCCGCCGUAAAAC